AUAUAGAUAAAGCCCUUCGAUGAGAAUUAGUGCCUCCCACCUGGCGUCGUUAAUUUGUCACUGUAUCACUGGCUGGAUACGGUUUCUUUGAAACACUCGUUCACAGUUGUACAUUGCCGGCGCUGAACUCAGCUUCAACAAUCUCCUUUUUCUCCAUCCAUUUAUUGUUUUUCUGAUUUUCUCUGGAAAGGGUUUCUUGCUGAUAAAUAAUGGUUGAUUGUUCAGUUGGUGAAACUACAGGUACGAAAACGGGUUUAUGUAGUCCGAGUCUAUGACUGGCUCCGAACCCGAGUAAGAGAUGGAGCAAGCUCCUUCCUCAGAUAUACUAUGCUCCUUCCUGGCUUAUUCUCUGUCUGGGGAUUGUUUCCGUACAUACUCUAUGAGGUACUGAAAUAAGAUUGACAGCUCUUGCUUUAUAUUUAGAUGUUGCACUUAGCGGAAAAAGUGUUUGCUCCUGGCUAUGAUUUCUGCAGUUCCUUCUUUCUUGAUUUCAAUGAUAUUUGUUGGAAAGACAAAAUGGCUCCUCGACGAGGUCAGGUAUCUCCUUAAUUGGGCGGUGAGCAGCAGUUGCACACAGGUUCUACAACAUUAAGAAGUAUGAAUUUAAGCCAAUCAAUAAGCAACUUCAAGUUAAAAAAACUAUUUAGAAGCAAAGAGAGAGAGAGAAAAAAUGGUAUUCCUUGCAUAUACAAACUUAUCAGGAAAAGAACGAGUGCUAAAACCUUAAGGUUACUUCCAGAAUACCCAUCUAUCAUACUGGCAAUUGCAUCAAAAUCAACAUCAGGCGACAAAUCUUCCUUAGUCAAAAGAACUUUCAGUAUCUUUGCUCUAUUUGGAGCAUCAGGCAGAUUGACCAUCAAUCUGUGCAAGAACAUGUAUGGACUACUUUCCUAAAU